ensembl:lncRNA
UUCGUCUCCUCCGCAUCACCCUAUAGCUCCAUUUUGUAGCAUAUCACGUACGUAAACAACAUAUGCAACGUAUGUACGGAAAUACGUUGUUUAUGUUCAGAUCAAAGCAUAAAUGAUGCAAACAGUGUAUCCGCGUGCUGUGCUGCUAACACAGAACGUCAUACAUUGUUUACAUAUGUGAUACUCUAAGAAAUGGCACUAUAGGGUGAUGCGGAGGAGAAAAAUUGUUGAAUAAAGUCGUUAUUUCUGUUUUCUUUGACAAACUGUGUGUGUUACGUCCCCUUUAAUCAUGUAAGGGUCCUUGCUGUCUAUGGGAAGAUCAGAGAGCUCUCAGAAUUCAUCAAAAAUAUGUGUUCCGAAGAUGAAUGAAGGUCUUACAGAUUUAGAACGACAUGAGGGUGAGUAAUUAAUGACAGAAUUUAAAUUUUUGGGUGAACCAUCCCUUUCAGUAGUAACAUUUAAAAAAUGUUAGUCAAACGUUCAACUGAAGAGUUUUAGUAAAAAAUAAAAUAAAAUUGUGCUAACAUUUUAUUAAAGACCAGCUAAGUUUAAAUGAACAUUCUAUUAAUGUUACUUUAAGAAUGUUUGUUUAUAACUUUGAGAGAGCUUUGCCAGCCACAGUUCUGAGAACAUUAUAUUGCAUUUGUUUCAGUUUGAUCUAUGCAUUUAUGCCAGAAGUAAUUCAUGAGCAUGCCUUAAAAUGGAGCAAAUAAAACUGGAAUAAUACUUUUUCUCUGCAUUUUACAUUGACACUGAUAUUCCGUGUCAAAGUAGGACCACUGAAUUUAAAGCACAAUCUUGGUAUCCCUUCCUCCAGGGAAUGAGAACUAACGGGAAACAUUUUUUAUGUUUAUGGCAAAACUAGAGCAUCAUCACUGCAAUCUUGCAACUUCCAUAUUUGUCUCCUCACUGUCUGAGCUUUUGAGCAUUUAAAAUAAUUAAAAUACUUUAAUUAAGCUCAGCAUGCAAUAACAGUCUUGGAGUGUUUAAUUAGUUUAAUAGUUUUGAUUCAGCUGUAAUACUUCAAUGGUGAAUUAUAUGUCCCAUUUAUCACAAGCUGUAAUAGCUCAUUUUGCAGAAUCAUAGCAUAACUAAUAAAUAAAGGUCUUCUUAUGUUGUUUUUGAGGAUUGUGGCGCGCUCUAAAUCCAUGCCCCAGACAUUAGUGAUGCCUAUGGGCUUUAAAAAGAAAAUUAAUUAGAUUUUGACAAAUAAAGCAUCUGUAUGCAUCCUUUCGAAGAUGAAAGCACUUGAUUACCUUGGUUCUUCAAAACAAGUUGAGCCAAAUCUAGGACAUUACUGUGAAUUCAUUUGCAGUUGUACAUAACAUCAUACAGAUGGUGAAGUAAAAACCAGAUAUAACCUGACUUGAGUUGCAAAUUUAAUUAUGUAUAAUGUAAAUUAAAAUACCAUGAUUAUAAUAGAAAUUUAUCCUUAAAGCUGGCGGUUGCUUAUUAGGAGAUUUACACCACGACUGCAGCUUAGAGAAACAGGGCUUUAACUAUAUGACACAAUUAUAUUGUAUUACUUUUUGACAUCAUAAUGUGGGCUGUGAGUCACCACUGUUAAUUAAUGCUUAACAAUGGCCGAUGUUGUAUUGCACUGCGGGACAUCAGAGCAUUCAUGAGGUAUUAGACAAAGCAUUCUCCAAAAUACUCACUUUUAAAUAAGCAUUCAUUUGAAACAGAUCAAACUGUGAGCUCAAAAUGAGGUUCUGAGAGAGGGUGAAAAGAGUGAGAGCCGCAGCUCCAGUAUUGAGCAAAAGGGCUGUUUUGUAUGUACUGACACAGAGCUCAUUACAGAAGAGGCAGAAGCCAAAUCCUUCAGUGCCCGUAGGCAGGGAUUUACCGAGGAGGAGAUAAAAGCUGGUUCAUGAUCGCAAUAGAAGUACAUGCUUGGUCACUGCACUUAAACACUUCAUUGUUUUGGCAUUCAGUUGAAAUAGUGCUUUAAUGGAGCUAUGUGAAUACAAUUGUUUCUGUCAAAUUACAUCUCUGUUCUCAUUAUAUAAAAGAGUUUUGCUGUUGCUGUGGAGAAAGUACUGUAAAACAUGUCGGCUAAGUUGGGAAGUGGGAAUUUUGCAUGCUUCUGAAACCAUCGUUGUCAACACCUUAUGUGUGGUUUGCAAUUGCUUCUAAAAUGUGUGACCUCUAAUCGCAUGAACACAAUUCAUUAGCAAGAUACAAGGGCAUCAGUGAAGUCUUAAAAUAGCUGCAAAAUGCAUGCAUUUUUGCGAGUAUGGAGCUAAGCAUUCAUGUGGGCAAAGUUUUUGUAAUAUCAAGAAAUUGAGUUCAUUUCUACUGUAGGUAUUGACAUCGAUUCCUACAUGUGUUUGAUUUGCUCCCCUUCAUUUUCUUUCGUUGUGAAAGGUGUUUGGCAUUCCCUGAAGAGUCAAGAAUAUGGCGAAAAAUAUAUCAAUGCUAGACUGCGUACAUGACAGAUAUUCUUGUUUGACUGUAAUUCCAUGAAAGUGUAACUACCUGGAGGCUGUAUUUGUGUAGACUGGUAUACAUUUUCUUGAUGUCUGAUUAACAAUAUGGUAAAAAAUCAAACCUCAAGGGUGAGGAUGGGAGAUGAACCACAAGUAUAUGCAUAUAUCCUCUUAAUAACUUUCUGGGGUUCUGUUGUUUCCCUUAUUAUGUUUAAUAUCAAGAAGAUUAAGUAUGCAGAUUACGAUUAGUGCAGUUACGGAAUAUAGAGUAGUCUUCAUUACGUAUCCCUCACCAAUCUAGCGUUUAAUAUUUGCAGAACGUUGUAAAAUGAUGAAAAUUAAACUGCUCGGAUUCAUUAGCUUUAUGUGUUGCAGCAAUAAGAAAGUAAUUAAACCACUGCAGGCAUUAUGAUGCUCCAGUUAAGAAAGAGGCCAAGUUCUUUGAAAUUGUUUGUGCUGUAAUGAAAAAUGGAUCAGCAGAUUUUUGAUAAUGUUGUUUUAGAGUAACAGAAAGACAAAGGCCAUAAUGUUGUCUUUUUAACCUCUCACAGAUUUACAAUGGUCUCAUUGUUUGUUAAAUUAGUUUGUUUUGUGUAAUGCUUGUUUCUGAUAAGUCAUCAUGCCCUGCAGUGGUUGGAUAUUUCCCAUAUUUUCGGAAGUAAAAACAUAAUUUUCUGCAUAGGGAGAUUUUUUGAGGAUAAUUUAAAAAAAAACUUUAAAGACAGACCUGUUGUAAGCGCCGAGAUUGUUGAUUGAUGAAUUGUUGAAGUCAUCUGUUCACAUUAUUUCAACUUACUUAAAAAAAAAGAAUGUUUACCAGCAGUAUUUGUAGUUGAAAACUACAUUACCCAUGAUGCUGCACAAAAAUUCCAACAAUCAGAGAGCUGCGAUGAGAAAAUCACAUCAAAAGAGCCUUCUCCCUACACUCUCAAAAUAUUUAAACAACUUUAAAUAAAUAGUUUUAUGUUUAUCUAUCAUUUUAAACUCAAUUGUCAUUUGCAGUGCUUCAUGGGAUUGUAAUUCUUUCCCUUAGUAAAAUCUUGUUCUUUUGUCUUUUUGUCCAAUUUUUGCAUCAAAUCAAAAAUUUUAAUGUUGUUAUUCACCUUGUAACUGGUUAGCUUGGUUCAGGGCUUAUUAUGCUUUAAUUAAGACUUUUUUUUAAAUCCCUGUUGGAAAUAUAUAAUUGUUUGUAAUAAUUUCAAUGUAAAUAAGUACUUUAUUUGGUAAGUAGCCAUGUUAAGUGAGAUAAUAUCCAGUAAGAUCAAAUAAACCCCUUGAAUUCAGGGAUAAAUAUAUAUCCUGAUCACCCUGUCCGGGUUGAUUUUGCGAUAAUUACAGAUUGACUGUACGUUUUCUCAUAUUUAUUCAAUUCGUAGGGAACUUAUAAGAUUCGUCAUCAAAAAUGUACAAAGAAAUGAGAAAAGAAGCAGCUAGCAACCACUCUCAGAGAAAAGAAAGCCAAAGUACAGAAAGAAAGAAAUGAGGACAUGAAUAUGUGCUGUACAAUAACAGUGUAUCAUAUUUCCAAGCAUUAUUGGUUUGUUUAUUGAAGAUGGUGAAAAACUCAUUUUAUGGAUAGUAAUAAACCUCUCUGUUUAUUGAAUACACAGAUCAAUUAUAGACUGGGGAAUCAAAACUGUAAUCUUUUUUUCCUCCUGUGAACACAGACCCACAAUUCUGCUUCGGCUGAUGACAAACAAAUGAACCCCUGUGUAGGAGUUUUUUUCAGAGGCCAGAUAUAAAGGAACACUAUGAUAACAAAGGUUGUAUUGAAUUCUCUUUGUCACUGUCUGUUUAAACAUAAACAUCCUGUUACAAUCAGACUUGGAGAGUAGGCGAAUUAAAAUUGCAUGUGCAACAAUGGAUACCUGAAAUUGAAACGCAGAGUUAAUAGCACGAUUCAUAUGCUGGCAAGGUCACUGUGUCACUCAAAAAAAGACAAAAGUUCCCCAUAAAACAGUGUACAAACAGAUUCAUCAGCUUCCAAAAUCACCUUUGAUUAGCUAUGAUGGCAAAUUGGUAUUGUUCAACAUCAUGUGCUCUAAAUCAUGUAAAUCCCUACUGAUGCCUUCCCUGUGCACUCUGAAGUCAGCUCGUGAACACAGACAGUUGGCAGAAUUUUCAAAUCUGCCGAUUUGAUUAAUAUCAAAAAACAAUAACCAUCAAUUACUUUCACAGCGACUUCCUGGCAGCCAGCUGCCCAUACGCUGCGAUAUUUGAUUUCACAUUAACCAACUGCUUACAUGAAUAGUGGCACAUUUCAUAGUAGCUGGCAGCUUGCUAUCUCUUGGUAAAUCUGUUUAUUAUUAAUGUAAAUAAGUGGCAAUUUUGACAUCCUCUGGAGAAAAUAAAGACACAGUUUAAAGAUAUUUAUGCUCUUUGAACUGGCUUAAAUUGUUUAAACAUUUGUUCAAUAAAAUAUGUUAAUCGCUAAGUGUAUGCUGAUUUAUUUACAGUUACAGUUUGUCAUUUAGCAGCUGUUUUUAUCAAGUGACUUAUGAGCGACUUAUGUGUUUAUAUAUCUUAUAAUAUAUUUGUUUAUUUAUUUAUUUUUAUCUCUAUCUAUCUAUCUAUCUAUCUAUCUAUCUAUCUAUCUAUCUAUCUAUCUAUCUAUCUAUCUAUCUAUCUAUCUAUCUGUCUGUCUAUCUAUCUAUCAUCUUUUUUAUUUUUAUAAAUCUUUCUCUCUUGGGAAAAACAUACAAAAACUUCUUGUAGCUAUUUGUUUUUGCACAAUUGCACAGAACCGAUUAAGUUUCUCCAUUUUGAUUUAUUGUUUUUAUUGUAUGUCUAUAAAUGAGAAAUGAAGUAGGGGUAUGAUUAUUGAUUGCAUCCACGAGCAGGUUUUAGUUAGACCAGAAAACCUGUCAACACCUGUCAUGCGGUACUGGAAGAACAGCAGUGAGAAAGUCAAUGAGAAAGAAAAAAGCAGGAGAGAAAGGCGGCAGGAGAAAAGAAAGGAGAAAGAAAGAGAAAGAGUAAGAAAAGGGAGGGGAGGAUGAGGGGCCUUGCGAGAAUCGACUCCUCUGUAAAUCAAUUCUCAGCCAGGUUUCACAACAGUCUGAAAUCUUCUAUCAUCAUGAUGAAGUAUGAAAACACAAAGGAGGAGAAAAAAACCAAGACUUUUGUUAAGUUUUACACAUCAAUAUAAUGUCAGUGCUUCUCUCCACAUAAAAAAGCUGGCCCACGUUUGUGCAGGAGGUGCAUGCAGACAGAAUGACAUGGUAUUUCUAAAAAAGGAAUAGGAAAUUGUCUGCCAGUCAGGGCCUGUUUUUAAAAGAUUGCAUUGUUAUCAGUCCAACGUGAAGCAAAAUCACAUCACUGGAUAUCAGUACUCUUGCUUGUUUACACAGCAGUUCUAUAGGCAAGAAGUUCUGUAACUUCAGAAGAAAAACUUUCAUACAAAUUGGCCAGUUUGUACAUUGUACACAAAAAAUACUCUAAAACAAGCCAAACCAUCAGUCUUUGAAUGGCCCUAAGCAACGCAUAGACAGAAAUAGAAUAUAUUCCAUCCAAGUGUUCUGAAAUUACUCCACUCCAGGUUUUUUGUUCCUCGUUUGCUGAUUCAUAUUUUCCUAUGAGAGAAAACAACGCUUCAGUCUGAAACAUAAAGAAAACAGGCAAGUGGAGUGAAACAAACAGUGAAAAGCCCCAGUUUAAAGUUCACUAACUUUUCUUGUGAUUUAUUCAGUCAGAACUGAUGAACGAAAAAGUUAAACAUUUCUCACACCUUGCAACUGAUAAAAUGUAUGUGCAAUAAAAAAGUGUUGUCAUUUGUAAUUCAUGCAGUGUCAUCUAUGCUAUUCUUUGCCCUUGUGAAAGACUUUAUGUAGAGGAAACACACAGAGUUGAGAACAUAUGCUGAUUAAAGUAAUCCCGAGGCACAACAUCCCAAAGAACAUUCAUCAGUAUUUUUUGUUAUUG